AUUGAACGCUGGCGGCAGGCUUAACACAUGCAAGUCGAGCGAGCGGCGGACGGGUGAGUAAUGACUGAGAAACUGCCUGAUGGAGGGGGCUAACUACUGGAAACGGUAGCUAAUACCGCAUACCCUCCGAUGUGCCCAGAGGGGCUUAGCUAGUAGGUGGGGGAAUGGCUCACCUAGGAGACGAUCCCUAGCUGGUCUGAGAGGAUGACCAGCCACACGGGAACGGAGACACGGUCCAGACUCCUACGGGAGGCAGCAGUGGGGAAUAGUGCACUAUGGGCUCAAGUCUUAUGCAGCCAGGCCGCGUGUGUUAAGAAGGCCUUCGGGUUGUAAAGCACUUUCAGUGAGGAGGCGUUACUCGCAGAAGAAGCACCGGCUAACUCCGUGCCAGCAGCCGCGGUAAUUC
rnacentral:rRNA from 1 species